rnacentral:sRNA from 1 species
CCGCGCGUCUACUGUGGGGAAAUGUGUUCUUACGGAGAUAAAAGCUACUAAUCCAACAGUUCCAGAAGAGUCUCACCGGCCGGGAAUCGGAAUCGGAAUGAAAGAGAUGUACCGAAGCUCUCAAGCGGCCCGGCCUAUGCCGAGAGGGUUACAGCGGGCAAUCAUUAAUAUGCCUUGGGGAAAGUCAUGCACCUGGCCUAGACGGAUAAAGGAAAGAUUAUCUCACCGAAAACAAGUAAACGAAAUAAUUACUAGUGCCCUAAGGCAAGGAAAUGUCACUUCCUUUUGUUGCCUUAGGGCAGGGUUUGACACUAUAUAAGGACCUGGUAAUUUCUUAAAGAAUGCCUUUACCUCCUUUACUUACUUUCUUGGCCCCGCUCCGCACCUGUCUUGCUUGUCUUUCUUCCUCCUCUUCUCCUUCGAUACGUGCCUGCUACUGCAGCAGCUAGAGAGAGAAAAGUACGGAUUCGGACAUGGGAGCAUUAGGAAGAUUCUUUCUAGCUUAUGUGAUUCACUCCUUAAAGAAGGUAGUUGGCUUACUUGCUUUUGAGAGGACAGGUAGUUUACGAAGAGAAGACAGACGCAAGACUCAUCCCGAUGGAUGCGAGACAGCAGAGGAUGUGGGAGCUUUCUUUCCCAAGGAAGAGCCCAAGCAAUGCCCUUGGGAGCGCAUUGCUUUCGUUUCGGUGCAAUCCAACUCUCUGCCCCUGCUUCGCCUAACUGAGAAAAGACAGAAGCAGCACCGCUAGUGCACUUUAAGCUAUUUCCUGUAAGGUAUAGACCAAGUCAUUUAAUUAAUUGUACCGGUCCUGCUCUUUUCUUUGUGCCAACCUUCUCGCCCUAGCCCUGUGUCCACAAUUCCAGGCCUUAAAUCAAAGUCUUGGAGUCAACUAGAAGGUGGAAGGCCCUAACCGAGAGAGGGUCCACGGUGGCUACGGGGAACCAGAGCCCGCACGAAGGAUUCAAUGCAGAAUUAGUUCUUAUCUUUCUUAUGAUAUUAGCAGUAAUCAAUUGAAUGACAAAUCUCUUGAAAAACGAAGACCUUGACUAGUAGCCGGCUGACUUACGAAUACCAGCAUCUCUAAAAGAGGGCUUUCUCCGGCUUUCUCUAAUAGGGGAAAAGCAUUGGCAUUCUAUUAAAGCGGCGCAGUCAGAAAGUAAAGCAGGAGGCAGAAGGUGGGGAAGGAAUGAUUCUCAGAAAAAGGGUAGGGUUAGGGGAUUGGUCUGGAGUGGAGCCGGGGUAAGGAGCGAGUUCAGUUCCCCUCGGGAAAGAAUCAAUUCUUCUAAAAUAUAAAUAGAUAUGAGCUGAUCGUCUCCCCCCAGAAAGGGCAGAAGUUCGUAUAAUGAUCAGUAAGAUGAGUAGGCAAUACCAUGACUAUUUCGAUUUCCAAGCGAUGACCACUUAUGAUUGAUUGAACCACCCGUAUUGAAAUCUACAAUGGGACUCAUGGAUCACAGGUCAAAAGGGCGGAUCCAAAAGGAAAGAAGAUAGCCCUGGGAGGAAGAAGCAAGAACAGUGAAGUCAAUGUCUUGUCUGACGGAAAGCCAAAGACACCCAGAACUUUCACUCCGUUAGGCAUAACUCUCAGCCGCACCUUGGAAAGGCUUCAAAAGCAUGGUGUACUCACGCCUCUUCCCCCAUCUCGCUCAACACCAGAUCCUCUUCCUCCUAGGUACAAAGCCCAUGCCUACUGCAAGUACCUUUAGACAAAUGGCCAAAAGACUGACCGAUGUUUAAGGCUGAAACAUGACAUCCAAGACCUUCUUAAUUCAGGGAAAAUUGAGCCACCAAGGGCAAAGCGUUCCAAUGUCACUACCAAUCCCCUACCCACUCAUGCUUUACCUCCUCCUGCCAAUAUAAAGAUGAUCGAGCCGACAUUGCCUAUGUUGUUGGAGUCGUGAGUCAAUUCAUGCAGAAACCAAGAACGAUACAUCUAGAUGUUGCAUACAGAAUCCUCAGAUAUCUUAAGGGUUCACCUGGAAAAGGUCUUCUUUUCCCAUCUUCCAGUUCCCUUCAGAUGACAGGAGACUCCGAUGCAGAUUGGGCAGGAGAUGCGCUGGACAGGG